rnacentral:ribozyme from 1 species
AUGAAUGAAUGAAUGAUAAAAAAAAGCAAAAGCAAAAUACCUUGGAUUGAUUGAUUGUUUUUGUGUGUGUUUUUUGUGUUUGCCAUAUCAUUAUUAUCACUAUUAUUAUUUUUCACUUUUACAUCUACACACAUGCCCAAAACAUAAAAACGCAAAUGUGUUUCAUUUUACAAUUAUACAAUAUAAAUAAUAUAAAAUAUACCUGACCUUACCUUAACAUAACUUAACCGUCGAUAUUUGUUUGAAUUGAAUACGGUAGCAACAAAUUU